GGAAAACAACGACACUCCACCACGCGCUAAAUACCGAGCAGUCGUCUUAUUUUCGUUCGGUACCUAUUUUCGACACUGUUUUUGCGAAUUUACUUUCUUUUUUCUUAAUAAUUUUAAUAUUAUCUUUAUCGUGU
ensembl:ncRNA K09A9.9 ncRNA